rnacentral:rRNA from 1 species
CAAUAGCGUAUAUUAAAGUUGUUGCAGUUAAAAAGCUCGUAGUUGGACCUUGGACCUGGACAGGCGGUCCGCCUCACGGCGUGUACUGUCUUGCUGGGUCUUUCCUCUUGGCGAUCUGUUGUUUCGGCAGCAGGGAACCAGGACUUUUACUUUGAAAAAAUUAGAGUGUUCAAAGCAGGCUCGACGCCGGAAUAUAUUAGCAUGGAAUAAUAAAAUAGGACGUGCGGUUCUAUUUCGUUGGUUUUUGGAAUCGCCGUAAUGAUUAAUAGGGACAGUCGGGGGCAUUAGUACUCACAUGCUAGAGGUGAAAUUCUUGGAUUUUGUGAAGACUAACUUCUGCGAAAGCAUUUGCCAAGGAUGUUUUCAUUAA